CUAGUACUCCCUCCGAUCAGUAUUACUUGUCUUAGAUUUGUCUAGAUACGGAUGUAUCUAGACACAUUUUAGUGUAAAAUACAUCCGUAUCUAGACAAAUCUAAGACGAGUAAUAUGGAUCAAAGGGAGUAGGAA
rfam:Triticum aestivum genome assembly, contig: Triticum_aestivum_CS42_TGACv1_scaffold_543109_6DS